rnacentral:rRNA from 1 species
AGUUUAUUACACCUUUCAGCAAUGGAUCUCUUGGCUCUCGCAUCGAUGAAGAACGCAGCGAAUCGCNAUAUGUAAUGUGAAUUGCAGAUCUACAGUGAAUCAUCGAAUCUUUGAACGCACCUUGCGCUCCUCGGUGUUCCGAGGAGCAUGCCUGUUUGAGCGUCAGUAAAUUCUCAACCCCUCUCGAUUUGCUUCGAGAGGGCGCUUGGAUGGUGGGGGCUGCCGGAGACCUGGAUUCAUCCAGGACUCGGGCUCUCCUGAAACGCAUCGGCUUGCGGUCGACUUUCGACUUUGCGCGACAAGGCCUUCGGCGUGAUAAUGAUCGCCGUUCGCCGAAGCGCAUGAAUGAACGGUCCCGCGCCUCUAAUCCGUCGACGCUCUUUCGAGCGUCUUCCUCAUCGACGUUUGACCUCAAAUCAGGUAGGACUACCCGCUGAACUUAAGCAUAUCAAUAAGCGGAGGAAAAGAAACUAACAAGGAUUCCCCUAGUAACUGCGAGUGAACCGGGAAAAGCUCAAAUUUUGAAUCUGGCGGUCUUUCGGCCGUCC